UUUGAAAUUGUAAUAAUUACCUUCGGCUAUGGUUUAAGCUAGUGGGAUAUUUACUAUAGUUUGUCUUGUGAUAUUUAAUUAUUAUGAGACCAUCCUUUUAUGACAUAAAGCUUUCAUUUCAGUUUUGUUGUGUUUUGAGUAACCUCUCUUUCUAUUUUGGAAAGGGGUUGUUGAGUUGGUAUCAGAGCCAGGUUCUUUCUUGUGGAAAACCUAUUUAGGUUUGACCUGUGAGUUAUGGGUAGACUUCUGGGUUAGGUUUUUGUUCAGUUUGAUUUUUUGUUCAGCUAUAUUCGAAUCGGUUUUAAUCUGUUAUGUUUAUAUUCAUUGAUCUCUUUCUUAGAUGGCUCGUCGAUCCGCUAGAGUUGCUGGGAGGAGAGGUAACAAUAGGGGAAGCGGUAAUGUUCAGCCCAAUGAGCAACCUAAUGAUCAGAUAAAUGCUCAACUGGCUAACUUGGUGAAUCAGGCGGUUAAUCAGGCUUUACCGCAGUUGGUGGCACAGGUUGUACAGGCAAUGCAAUAGCCGCCAGAAAUUCCUGAGCAGGGGCACUCGGGAAAUAAUGGUCCACAAACAAACGAAGAGGAAGGAAAUGUGGAUGGCCUUAAUCAGCAGGUGGUUCCAAUGUAUGUGUGGUUGGAGAGGUUUCAGAAGCAGAAGCCACAGUCUUUCAGUUCUGCUCCAACUCCAAUUGAUGCAGAAAAUUGGAUUGCUCACCUAGAGAAGAUUUUUGAUGUGUUGGGAUGCUCAGAUAAUCAAAGAGUGUUGCUUGCUGCUUACAAGCUAGAGGGGGAUGCACAGAGGUGGUGGAAAGCACUGAAGACAACCAAGGGUGAUGGGUACGUGGAGACACUUCAUUGGGCAGAGUUUUGUGAGGUCUUUUAUCAGCAGUACUUUCCAGCUGCUGAUAAAGAGGCCUAUGCUAGAGAGUAUCUAUCCAUUCGGCAGAAGGAUGAUGAGUCCAUUACCGAUUUCAUGACCAGGUUCACCAGGUUGGCAGGUUUUGCGGGAACUUCUGCAGGGACUGCAGCAGAACAGGCGGAAAAGUUCAAGUGGCGGAUUCAUUAUAGGUAUCGCCAACAUCUCAUUAACACCAAGUUUGCGGAUGUAUCGGCGGUGGCUAAUGCGGCCAAGAACAUUGAGAUGGAGCGGCAGGACUUUCGGACUUCCAAACCGGAAGGGAGUCGAAAGAGGGACAGAGAUGACCAGCAGGGUCAAGCUUCGGGUCAGCAUGGGAGAAAUCAAGGUGGUCAGUGGAACAGAAAUCGUGGUGUUCAGCAGGGGCAGUGGCGUGGUCAGAAUCAGAACAGGGGUUAUCAGCAGAUGCCUCAGCAAGGGCAGAAUCGUCAGCUUCAGUUACCUUGGUAUGGACAAAAUCGUCAGCAGGGACAGAACCGUCCGCAGGGGCAAAAUCAGGGUCGUUACCCAGGACCAGCUGGUGGGGGUAACCCGAAUCUUAUUCCGAUAGCUCCUUGUACUACUUGUGGGGCUAAUCAUCCGGGGAGGCAGUGCCACAGACUCACUGGUGCAUGCUUCUUGUGUGGACAGAUGGGUCACAUUGCUAGGGAUUGUACUGGGCCACGUGGAAAUGGUGGAGGUGGCGAUAAUGGUGGCAAUGGAGGUCAGCGUCAGGGCGGUCGAGUGUUUGCUUUGACGCAUAACCAGGCGGCAGGUACACCAGGUACUGUUUCUGGUACUCUUUUAGUUGGCAAUCGUGAGGCGUCUAUUUUGUUUGAUACGGGUUCUACUCAUUCCAUUGUUGCUCAGUCUUUUGUUCGGCACCUGGGUGUGCCAUCUCAGUCUUUAGAUUCUGUUAUGUCUAUUGCUACCCCGAUGGGGACUUCUGUAGUUAUUUCUGAUUUGUAUCGAGGAUGUCCGAUCAGUUUUGGGGAUAAGAUUCGUAGCGUUAAUCUCCUUCCGAUGUGUAUGCACGAUUUCGAUAUCAUUCUUGGGAUGGACUGGUUGGAUAAGCACCAGGCCACUAUAGAUUGUCAGGCGAAGAAGGUUAUAUUUGGAGAUGUGAAGUCUCCAGAAUUCGUAUAUCAGGGUUCUCAGCCGAGUAGAAUGGUGAAGUUAAUUUCGGCUUUGAAGGCUGGAAAGUUGGUGGCAAAGGGUUGUGAUGGGUAUUUGGCGUUUGUGAAAGAUACCUCUAAGGGUGAGUCUCGUAUUGAGGAUGUUCCAAUUGUUCGUGACUUUUCCGAUGUGUUUCCUGAGGAGUUGUCAGGGUUGCCACCACAGCGGGAAGUGGAAUUUGCUAUUGAGCUUGUUCCUGGUGCGGAGCCUAUCUCUAAGGCGCCGUAUCGGAUGGCACCGUUGGAGUUGCAGGAGUUGAAGGAGCAGUUGCAGGAACUGUUAGAUCGUGGUGUGAUUCGGCCGAGUGUUUCGCCGUGGGGUGCUCCAGUCUUGUUUGUGAAGAAGAAGGAUGGGUCUAUGAGGCUGUGUAUAGACUACAGGGAGUUGAACAAGAUCACCAUCAGGAAUCGGUAUCCAUUGCCGAGGAUUGAUGACUUGUUUGACCAACUUCAGGGGGCAAAGUAUUUUUCGAAGAUAGACUUGAGGUCGGGCUAUCAUCAGUUGAGGGUGAGGGAUGAGGAUAUCCCUAAGACGGCUUUUCGUACUCGAUAUGGGCAUUACGAGUUUCUGGUGAUGCCAUUCGGGUUGACUAACGCUCCGGCGGUGUUUAUGGAUUUGAUGAAUCGGGUGUUCAGGGAGUACUUGGACCAAUUUGUCAUUGUCUUUAUUGAUGACAUUUUGGUUUACUCUAAGUCUAAGGAAGAACAUGAGGAGCAUCUUCGCACAGUGUUAGGAAUUUUGCAGAAAGAGAAGUUGUAUGCUAAAUUCUCUAAAUGCGAGUUUUGGUUGGAGCAGGUUGCAUUUUUGGGACAUGUUGUUUCUGCUGAAGGCAUUAAGGUGGAUCCUGCGAAGGUUGAGGCUAUCACCAAAUGGCCAAGACCUACUACAGUGACGGAGAUUAGGAGUUUCUUGGGUUUGGCAGGGUAUUAUAGGCGGUUUGUGGAAGGGUUUUCCUUGCUUGCCUUACCAUUGACUCAGUUGAUGAGAAAGGGCGUGAAGUUUAUGUGGAAUGAAGAGCGGGAGAAGAGUUUCGAGGAGUUGAAGAAACGACUUGUGUCAGCUCCUAUACUUGCAUUGCCGUCGGGGACAGGAGGCUAUCAGAUUUAUAGUGAUGCUUCUAAGAAGGGCUUGGGGUGUGUUUUGAUGCAACACGGUAAGGUGAUUGCUUAUGCUUCUAGGCAGCUUAAACCUUACGAGGUGAAUUACCCCACACAUGAUUUGGAGUUGGCAGCGGUGAUCUUUGCCUUAAAGAUUUGGAGGCAUUAUUUGUAUGGAGAGACUUGUGAUAUCUUCACCGAUCACAAAAGUCUUAAAUACAUUUUCACUCAGAAGGAGCUCAAUAUGAGGCAAAGGCGUUGGUUGGAGCUACUAAAAGAUUAUGAUGCGAGGAUUCAGUAUCACCCGGGGAAGGCAAAUGUGGUUGCAGAUGCUCUUAGCCGAAAGAGUUCAGGAAGUGUUGCAGCCCUUAUUACGCAACCUCAGCUUAUUUCAGAUAUGGAGCGGAUCGAGUUGGAGUUGUAUAUACGAGGUUCAGAUGGGCAUUUGGCGGGUAUGAGAGUGGAGCCCUCUCUUAUCUCGCGGGUCAAAGAAGCUCAAAAGGAAGAUGGGGAGUUGUGGGGUUUGACGCAGAAUCUAGAGGAGGGCAAGCAGUCUGAGUUUCGUGUUGAUGACCAUGGUGUGAUUUGGUUGGGUGAGCGGUUGUGUGUACCGUCAGAUCCAAUCAUUCGGGAGGCGGUGUUGGCUGAAGCUCAUAGUUCGCCAUUUUCUAUUCAUCCAGGUUCUACAAAGAUGUAUAGAGAUUUGAAGAAGAAUUUUUGGUGGAAUGGGAUGAAACGAGACGUGGCUGAAUAUGUUGGGAAGUGCCUCACUUGUCAACAAGUGAAGAUAGAACAUCAACGAGCUAGUGGUUUGCUGCAACAGUUAGACAUUCCAGUGUGGAAGUGGGAGGAUAUCACGAUGGAUUUUGUGACUGGUUUGCCGAAGACUUUCAGGAAGAAUGAUGCCAUAUGGGUAGUGGUGGACCGGUUGACCAAAUCGGCACACUUUUUGGCUAUCCAUGAGGGUUACUCGGUGGAUAGGUUGGCACAUAUCUUUCAGCAGGAGAUUGUUAGACUUCAUGGUACUCCGGUGUCUAUUGUUUCAGAUCGGGACCCACGGUUCACUUCACGGUUCUGGAAAGGGUUUCAACGAGCUUGGGGUACUCGGCUCAACUUCAGUACUUCUUUUCAUCCGCAAACUGAUGGGCAAUCCGAGCGGACUAUUCAGACGUUGGAGGACAUGUUGAGGUCUUGUGCACUUGAGUGGUCGGGUAAUUGGGAUGAUUACUUGAGCCUAGUUGAGUUUGCUUACAACAAUAGCUGGCAUGCAAGUAUUGGAAUGGCUCCGUUUGAGGCAUUGUAUGGUAGGAAGUGUCGGGCACCAACUUGUUGGGAUGAGGUUGGCGAAAGGGCCAUAGAAGGGCCUGAGUUAGUUCAAAUCACUACGGAGAAGGUAGCGGUGGCUAAGGAGAAAUUGAAGUCGGCUCGAUCACGGCAGAAGUGUUAUGCUGAUAAGCAUAGGAGGACUUUAGAGUUUGAACCUGGUGAGCAUGUGUUUCUAAAAGUUUCUCCUUGGAAGGGCAUUCGGCGAUUUGGGUUGAAAGGGAAACUUAGUCCGCGUUAUAUUGGACCAUUUGAGAUUCUGGAGAGGGUUGGUGAGGUUGCAUAUCGGUUAGCUUUGCCUCCACAGCUAGCUCAUGUGCAUAAUGUGUUCCAUGUGUCGGUGUUGAGGAGUUAUCAUUAUCAUCCGUUGCACGUGGUGCAAUAUCCGUUCGAUAAGAUUCGAGAGGAUCUUACUUGUGAGGAACAAGCUGAGGCGAUUUUGGAUCGUCAAGAAAGGAUCAUGAGGAGGAAAACUAUUCCGUUUGUUAAGGUUUUGUGGAGGAAUCAUUCGGAGCGGGAAGCCACUUGGGAGAUGGAGGAGUCUAUUCGAGCGGAGUAUCCGCAUCUCUUUGAAAAUUAGGUACGUUCCAUUCUAUUCUUUGAUUCCGGGGACGGAAUCCUUUUAAGGGGUAGGUGAUGUAAUACCCGAAAAAAAAAAUAAUAAUAUUAAAUAAUAAAAUUACCUUGUUUUAAAACAUAUUUUUGGAUGUCAUUUAUUUUGGGUCAAAAUAAUCAUUUAAUUUUUGUGGGCUAAUGUAAUAAUAAGUGAUGGGUAAAUUAAAUAGGUAAAAUUGGGCUUUAAAUUAAGUGGGUCAAAUUAAUAAUUGUGUAAUUUUAAAAUCCUAUUAAAAUUUGGAGAGUUAAUAAAUAUAUUAAUUAAUAAAAUCUAUUUUUUAAUGAAUAAAUAACUAAACCUAAUUCACUUAAACAAUACGCCUAAUACGAGUUUGGGAGAGAAAGAAAAGAAUACUUGCGGCUGAGUUGUGACUUGCAAAAGGAGGAGGAUCACAGUUUUAUUAUUUGGUCAGUGAAACCAGGUACUCAUUCAAUCGAAAACAGUGAAGUGCAUGUUUAAGUUAUUAUAUACGAAUCACAUUAUUUUUUUAAAAGCUGUGCAUUUGAUGUUGGCAGGUAUAGAUUCAUUAGGUUAUAUAUUUUAUAUAUAUAUAUAUAUAUAUUAUAUAUAUAUGCCAUGCGAAUGCUUGCAGCAGUAAGCUGCAGGAGAAAUCUCUCUCUCUCUCACACACACACACAUAUAUAUAUAUAUAUAUUAUAUUUCAUUAAUUUAAAGUUAUGUAUAUUAAUUUAAAUUUAUUCAUUUUGCCGACAUAGUUGUAAAAGUUUGUAAUAAUAAUUUAAUAUUAUUAUGUUAUUAAUGAUUUGAUUGUAAUAAAAUUUUAUUAAAUUAUUUAGAUUGAACGGAGAGAGUCUAAACGAGUCAAAUUUGGAGUAUAAAUUUUGGGUAUUAUAUUGCUUAAUCCAGGUACGGAUUCCGUACUCUUUCAGCGAGAUUCUUUUGUUUUUAAUUAGUUCGUUUCGUUAUGCGUUUUGAAAAUUAGUAUUGCCUCUCAUGAUUAUAUCUUGUCAAAUUCAUUGUGAUAGUUUCGUUUGGCGUUCAUAGUUGGAACUCAUAUUUGUACUCUGUAGACUAGUACAACAUAUCUAAAUUUAUAUUGUAGUAAUGUGCAUGUUAAUAUUUUUGGAGACUUUGUGUUGAUAUCUCGUUUCAGUUUAACAUGUACAUGUUAGAACCCCUUUGUUGUGUCGCAUGUGUUGUGACAUGGUAUCCUUGUUAGAAUACCGUAGGGUAUACCUGAGCUAUAACCACCUGUGGGGGUACCACAGGCAUGUCCUCUUGGCACCGAGGCAUGACACCUUCCGUGGCGGUGUGAUCAGUCCACGGCGUCUCCGUUUUGUGCUCCGGUGGGAGUUGGCCAUUUGGUGUUUUGUUGUGGGAGGCGUAUGGGUCGACCCUAGUUUUCUGUUCUGUUCUGUUCUGCGGAUUGGUGAUGUUUGUGCCAAACACACCUUCCGAUUUUACAUGCAUCUGGAUUGCGCAGUCCGAUGUGUGAUUGCCUGUGUGGCAUUAUUUUGAUUGCCUGUGUGGCAUUAUUUGACUUGCCUGUGUGGCAAGGUAUAUUACUAUUUAUUUUGAGCUCGGUAUGAAAUAACACCCAGCCAUUUGAUUCAGCCUAUCAUUUCAUUGUGUUGGUUUUGUUCGUUACAGUUCAGUUCAAUUAAUUGUGUUAGUUAUUUCGUUUCAUUAUUCUUUUAUUCUAUAUCCGUACUGGGCAUUUGGCUCAUGCUGUGUUUUUCUUCCGGCAGGUAAUCAGGGGAAUCAUGGGCAAGUGUGAUGAGAGCUCCAUUCAUUCCAAUGGAUUAGAGUUAUUAUGUUUAGGAUUGAUAUGUCAGUUUAUUUGAAAUUGUAAUAAUUACCUUCGGCUAUGGUUUGAGCUAGUGGGAUAUUUACUAUAGUUUGUCUUGUGAUAUUUAAUUAUUAUGAGCCCAUCCUUUUAUGACAUAAAGCUUUCAUUCAGUCUUGUUGUGUUUUGAGUAACCUCUCUUUCUAUUUUGGGAAGGGGGUGUUACAGAGUUGGUAUCAGAGCCAGGUUCUUUCUUGUAGAAAACCUAUUUAGGUUUGACCUGUGAGUUAUGGGUAGACUUCUGGGUUAGGUUUUUGUUCAGUUUGAUUUUUUUUGUUCAGCUAUAUUCGAAUCUGUUUUAAUCUGUCCUGUUUAUAUUCAUUGAUCUCUUUCUUAGAUGGCUCGUCGAUCCGCUAGAGUUGCUGGGAGGAGAGGUAACAAUAGGGGAAGGGGUGAUGUUCAGCCCAAUGAGCAACCUAAUGAUCAGAUAAAUGCUCAACUGGUUAACUUGGUGAAUCAGGCAGUGAACCAGGCUUUACCUCAGUUGGUGGCACAGGUGGUACAGGCAAUGCAGCAGCCGCCGCCAGAAAUUCCUGAGCAGGGGCACUCGGGAAAUAAUGGUCCACAAACAAACGAAGAGGAAGGAAAUGUGGAUGGCCUUGAUCAGCAGGUGGUUCCAAUGUAUGUGUGGUUGGAGAGGUUUCAGAAGCAGAAGCCACAGUCUUUCAGUUCUGCUCCAACUCCAAUUGAUGCAGAAAAUUGGAUUGCUCACCUAGAGAAGAUUUUUGAUGUGUUGGGAUGCUCAGAUAAUCAAAGAGUGUUGCUUGCUGCUUACAAGCUAGAGGGGGAUGCACAGAGGUGGUGGAAAGCACUGAAGACAACCAAGGGUGAU
rnacentral:lncRNA from 1 species